rnacentral:misc_RNA from 1 species
GAUGAAGAACGUAGCAAAGUGCGAUAACUAGUGUGAAUUGCAGAAUUCAGUGAAUCAUCGAAUCUUUGAACGCACAUUGCGCCCGCCAGCAUUCUGGCGGGCAUGCCUGUUCGAGCGUCAUUUCAACCCUCGAGCCCCCCCGGGGGCCUCGGUGUUGGGGGACGGCACACCAGCCGCCCCCGAAAUGCAGUGGCGACCCCGCCGCAGCCUCCCCUGCGUAGUAGCACACACCUCGCACCGGAGCGCGGAGGCGGUCACGCCGUAAAACGCCCAACUUUCUUAGAGUUGACCUCGGAUCAGGUAGGAAUACCCGCUGAACUUAAGCAUAUCAAUAAGCGGAGGA